AUGUCAGGUACAACAGAGACAGCUGUUUGUCCCCCAGUAUCCUUCAGACAAAGCCAUAUAUGAUUGAAGGUUAUCAGUACUGUGCUUUUGGAGGAUUCAGAAGAAGUUAUAUCUGAUUGGGAGAUUGAAAAGGAUUGGCCUGAAGGAGAGGUGGUUUUUGAACUGCAUCUUAAAGGAUGAGGAAACUGAGGCUGAGAGGGUAGAGAACUUUGCCUGAGGUCACUCAGCAGGGACCCACCCAUCACAGUAAAUGCCAGCACUGCUGAUGCCAAAACAAUGUUAUUUGUAGGCCCUCGGAAUUUGUGACCUGAAGGAAGAAGAGCAGGGCCGUGGGAAGUAUGUAACCAGUGUCAUGCCCCUGGUCCCAAGGAAGCAGUGGCUUGGUAAAGAGGGGACCCCCGUCAAUAACUCCCUGUAAUUACUGGGCACCCACUCUGAGCUCCUCAGUGGAAUCCUAAGGUUAAUAAGACUGUCUCUAGCCACUGGGGCUCCCAGCCUGGAGUGAGGUAAGAGGAGUGGAGCCGGCUGGGGAGGGAGACGAACACAUACACAGAAGAUUCAGACACACUUGCAAUGUAUUGCUGGGGAUUCUCCAGCAUUGGCAUGAUGGAGAGGGUGGAGAAUCAUUUGACCGCCUCCGCCUAGGAUUGCAGAGUUCAGCUGGCCAUCAUCCACCAGCCGGGGGACUGUGCACAUCAGUUAACCUCUCCUCUCAGGCCUUGAAAAGCACCAGGCUUAGUACACGUUUGUUAAAUGAAUGCACUGCAGUUUUUUUGCUUGUUAAAGGCAGGUAAUAAUAAUGAUAUUGCUGACUAAGGGCUCCCAUCCACUCCCAGUGAGCCCGGUGCCCCCCCGGGCCUCCUCAGUGAGCUGAGGAGGCUCAGCAGUGCCUGCACGUCCCCUCGCCACAAUGUCAUGUGCCACCUCUUCAAAGGAGGGAUGUACCAGCUAGUGGACGUGACCUUGACUGCAAAGGGCGGCACGCAGCUGAUGUAAUGGUCGCUUAAGUGUUCACAAAUGCCUGAACACCCUGUCCUACCUGGUCCUACCUGGAUGCUGGCCUCAGUAAGCUCCUGGGCUCAUUGAAGAUGAACCUAGCAGUAGUAUUUACACCACUUGUUGUGUGCCCACUGUGGGCCCGGCGCCAUGCCGAGUGCUCUAUGGAUGUGAGAUGAGAACACUGAAGCAGUUUUUUCUAAAGAUAGCUGCCUGGCACAGUGGCUCACAUCUGUAGUCCCAGCAUUUGGGGAGGCCAAGGCAGGUGGAUCACUUGAGGCCAGGAAUUCAAGACCAGCAUGGCCAACAUGUUUUCCAUCCUUCCUUCAGUGCUGGGAGAGAAAAGCAUACGACAUAGACAGGGAGGUCAAGCUCCACCACGCAGAUGAGGUGCAGGCCACCAGUCUUCCUCUGCCACAUCUCUUUCUGAAAAGGACUUCACAUUCACCCUUGCAAUCCAUGUGGGGACACUGUUGGAUAGGAGGCGUGGUCCCAGCGUGGUCUCCCUGUCUGGGCCUCUGCCUAUGCCAAAUGUUUGCCUUACGCUGCACACUCAAGAGGUUCCAUGUAUACAGAUGGGAAUUCCAGAGCUACAGAAAAGGCAGCAAGCACCAUGAUUUAAGCUAACCAGUGUGGAUUCACACCUUCCUCUCUCUCUAUCAGUGGCAGAACUACCAGCUAGAGUAAGAAGUGGUUGAUCCAGGACCUAAACAUUCUGGAAACUCUUGCCCACUUCUGGGAGAAAUGACCCAAUCCAUAGUACUAAGCACACCUUAACUUUCGUAGGACGCAGGCAAGUUGUCAUACCGUGUGCCUAAAUAUAGAAAAAUGAUCCACUGGACUAAUAAAGUGUUAAAUAAAAUAUGUCCUGACUGUC
ensembl:lncRNA LINC02395 long intergenic non-protein coding RNA 2395